rnacentral:lncRNA from 1 species
AAGCAAAAUAUUCAGAGACAGGACAGCUAUUAGAUAGUGGAGUAGACUUAAACAUGGAAGGAGGAAUUGCAGAUAACUGCUACUGCUACCGGCUUCGAAAUUAACUGCUAUUUUUGUAGCAGUUGAUUCGGCACUGACACGAACCGAGGCUGAUUUUUAGGUUGGUUGCGAUUUGGUGAUUUCGAUUAUUGCGAACAGUGUGUGUGAACGGUAAUUCAGGUUCGAGCCAAUUCAACAUACUAUAAAUUACAUCCACCAUGUAUUUUGUUGCAUUUUUUUUGUCAUUAAAAAAAUGGUC